rnacentral:tRNA from 1 species
GGGCACUUGGCACAGUUGGUAGCGCGCACGCUUCGCAUUAAGAUUGCGUGAGGUCGUGGGUUCAACUCCCACAGUGUCCA